rnacentral:rRNA from 1 species
AUUGAACGCUGGCGGCAGGCCUAACACAUGCAAGUCGAGCGCGCGGCGGACGGGCGUGAAAUGUAUGGGGACUCCCCGAUAGAGGGGGGCAUCUACUGGAAACGGUAUCUAAUACCGCCUACACUCGGCUAAUCCCUAUGGGAUUAGCUAGUAGGUGAGGUAAUGGCUCACCCAGGCGACGAUCCCUAGCUGGUCUGAGAGGAUGAUCAGCCACACUGGGACUGAGACACGGCCCAGACUCCUACGGAGGCAGCAGUGGGGAAUAUUGCACAGUGGGCGCAAGCCUGAUGCGGCCAUGCCGCGUGUAUGAAGAAGGCCCUAGGGUUGUAAAGUACUUUCAGUUGGGAGGCGUUACCGACAGAAGAAGCACCGGCUAACUCCGUGCCAGCCGCCGCGGUAAUUC